UGGUUUUGAUUUGAAAGGCGCUUUCGGGUGUCGCUGAUGGAUGGACCCGCGGUGCAUUAGCUAGUUGGUGAGGUAACGGCUCACCAAGGCCACGAUGCAUAGCCGACCUGAGAGGGGGAUCGGCCACAUUGGGACUGAGACACGGCCCAAACUCCUACGGGAGGCAGCAGUAGGGAAUCUUCGGCAAUGGACGAAAGUCUGACCGAGCAACGCCGCGUGAGUGAAGAAGGUUUUCGGAUCGUAAAACUCUGUUGUUAGAGAAGAACAAGGAUGAGAGUAACUGUUCAUCCCUUGACGGUAUCUAACCAGAAAGCCACGGCUAACUACGUGCCAGCAGCCGCGGUAAUACGUAGGUGGCAAGCGUUGUCCGGAUUUAUUGGGCGUAAAGCGAGCGCAGGCGGUUUCUUAAGUCUGAUGUGAAAGCCCCCGGCUCAACCGGGGAGGGUCAUUGGAAACUGGGAGACUUGAGUGCAGAAGAGGAGAGUGGAAUUCCAUGUGUAGCGGUGAAAUGCGUAGAUAUAUGGAGGAACACCAGUGGCGAAGGCGGCUCUCUGGUCUGUAACUGACGCUGAGGCUCGAAAGCGUGGGGAGCAAACAGGAUUAGAUACCCUGGUAGUCCACGCCGUAAACGAUGAGUGCUAAGUGUUGGAGGGUUUCCGCCCUUCAGUGCUGCAGCUAACGCAUUAAGCACUCCGCCUGGGGAGCACGACCGCAAGGUUGAAACUCAAAGGAAUUGACGGGGGCCCGCACAAGCGGUGGAGCAUGUGGUUUAAUUCGAAGCAACGCGAAGAACCUUACCAGGUCUUGACAUCCUUUGACCACUCUAGAGAUAGAGCUUCCCCUUCGGGGGCAAAGUGACAGGUGGUGCAUGGUUGUAGUCAGCUCGUGUCGUGAGAUGUUGGGUUAAGUCCCGCAACGAGCGCAACCCUUAUUGUUAGUUGCCAUCAUUCAGUUGGGCACUCUAGCAAGACUGCCGGUGACAAACCGGAGGAAGGUGGGGAUGACGUCAAAUCAUCAUGCCCCUUAUGACCUGGGCUACACACGUGCUACAAUGGGAAGUACAACGAGUUGCGAAGUCGCGAGGCUAAGCUAAUCUCUUAAAGCUUCUCUCAGUUCGGAUUGCAGGCUGCAACUCGCCUGCAUGAAGCCGGAAUCGCUAGUAAUCGCGGAUCAGCACGCCGCGGUGAAUACGUUCCCGGGCCUUGUACACACCGCCCGUCACACCACGAGAGUUUGUAACACCCGAAGUCGGUGAGGUAACCUUUUGGAGCCAGCCGCCUAAGGUGGGAUAGAUGAUUGGGGUGAAGUCGUAACAAGGUAGCCGUAUCGGAAGGUGCGGCUGGAUCACCU
rnacentral:rRNA from 1 species